ensembl:lncRNA
CACCGGAUCACAGCGGUCAAAAGUUUUGACGGCUGUGGAAAAAUGCGGAACCUUUCUCGCACCGCUAGUACACUGCCGGACCCUUUAGCCGCGCACAGCGCGCACACGUCCUGUAUUUGAAUUAAACGGCUCAAGCAUGCCCUGAAUGCCUGUUACCACCUGACGUUUCGACCGGCACCUGCGGCUAAGUGAAGAAACCCAAAACAGAAAGAUUGAUCGAGAGCAGGACAGAAGAGUCCUCCCUGAGGAGUGGCCCCAGUGGAUCCCCAGAUUCCCACAGAAGAUUCAGACAGCGAGAGAGAGGAGCCUCCAACAACAAGUGGCGGCCCAAGGUACCUCCAGGUAUACUCACUCUUUCACACAUACUGGACACUUUAAUUCCACUUCAGUUUUGCACAAUCUAAUACAGUGGCGUGAUAAUUUCUAAACAGGUAUGAGUCAUACCACUCACCGUCCUCAACUGGAGUAGAGUUGGAUGAAUGGCCUCAAAUCUAUAACGUUUUAAGCAGAUUAUAGUGUUCAGAUAAUCCAUUAGAUGUAACAUGGGAUAGUACGCUCCAAUGUAUGAGUUUAUCUUGAUUGUUAUUAAUCUCUGCUGUAAUUUAAUAAUUGAAUAUGCCUUUUUUUUUCAUUUUCAAACAGACAUUUCCAAAUCAAGAACCGAUAGAUCUUUAAGGACAGUCUUUGAAGUGUUCAGUUUUAAUGAGAUGUCACUGUUUGGAUUCUCUGUCUGAUAUGUGUAAAUGUGGCUCAAACUUGAAUCUAAUCUUGCAGAGUCCGCCUAAUACCCAUUGUGAAUAUGAUGUUUGUUAUUAUGUGUUUGAUAGAUGUUUAUGAAUCGAAUUGAAGAAAAAUUGACACUGCUUAUUUAAACAGGCUGUUAAUGCUUGUCAUAUUUACAUUUGUUGGAAUUCAGCAAAUUGUAUUCAGGAUGUUAUUUUAUUUAUUUUCAUAUUUCUAUACAUUAGCUCAGUAUUUUAUACUUUUUGUUAUUUAAAGAUAAAUCCAUAUUGUGAUCAGACUUGAUUAAAAA